GACGAACCGUGCAAACGUUGUUCGGAAUCACUGGGCUUAAAGGGCGCGUAGGCGGCUUGCCAAGUCAGGGGUGAAAUCUUUCGGCUUAACCGGAAAAGUGCCUCUGAUACUGGCGAGCUAGAGGGAGGUAGGGGCAUGUGGAACUUCCGGUGGAGCGGUGAAAUGCGUUGAUAUCGGAGGGAACGCCGGUGGCGAAAGCGACGUACUGGACCUCUUCUGACGCUGAGGCGCGAAAGCUAGGGGAGCGAACGGG
rnacentral:rRNA from 1 species